rnacentral:rRNA from 1 species
GGCGAUCAGAUACCGCCCUAGUUCUGACCGUAAACGAUGCCAACUAGCGAUCCGCCAGUGGACUCAUCGCUCUGGUGGGGAGCUUCCCGGAAACGAAAGUCUUCCGGUUCCGGGGGAAGUAUGGUUGCAAACGCUGAAACUUAAAGGAAUUGACGGAAGGGCACCACCAGGAGUGGAGCCUGCGGCUUAAUUUGACUCAACACGGGGAAACUCACCCGGCCCGGACACCGUAAGGAUUGACAGAUUGAUAGCUUUUUCAUGAUUCGGUGGAUGGUGGUGCAUGGCCGUUCUUAGUUCGUGGAGCGAUUUGUCUGGUUUAUUCCGAUAACGAGCGAGACUCUGGCCUACUAAAUAGUUGACGCAUUGCCACUGUGCGCACAACUUCUUAGAGGGAUUUUCGGUGUUUUCAACCGCACGAAAUUGAGCAAUAACAGGUCUGUGAUGCCCUUAGAUGUCCGGGGCUGCACGCGCGCUACACUGGCAAACGCAACGUGCCUGUCCUGCCCCGAAAGGAGCGGGUAAACCCCUGAAAUUUUGCCGUGAUUGGGAUCGGACAUUGCAAUCUAUUGUCCGUGAACGGGGAAAUUCCUUGUAGGGGCGAGUCAUCAACUCGUCCCGAAUACGUCCCUUUCCUUUGUAA